UGAACAAAUUGACCGGCGAUAUAUGUUGCGGAUUUAUCGUCAAAAGUUAAGGGAUGCAACUGAUCCAUUUACAUAUAUUCCCAGAGCUUUAAGGACAUUUAUAGGUUAAGUAAGGAAGCUGCUCACACCUUUCUAUUAGAAAUUAGUCCACACAUGCACAAGGAAAAGAGAAGUACAUUCAUUUCGCAACCUCUACGAUUGUGUACAGCUUUACGUUUCCUUGCGACCGGCUCAUUCCCAAUAUGAGCCUAUAAAACAAAAUUUAAAGAUUUUAUAAAGAAUAUGGAUUUCCCAGAGUAAUUGGUGCAAUAGACUGUACACAUGAACGUAUUAAGAAACCAAAGCCAGAAGUUGAAAGCUGCCACUUAAACAAAAAUGUUACCACUCAAAAAAUGUACAAUUGUAUAUUAUUUCAGAUAUGCGACUAUAAUUUAAAAAUCAUUGGAGGAUUUGCAAGAUUUGGAGGAGCUACACAUGGCUCUUAUAUUUGGGAUGCUUCGCGAAUAAACUUAUUGUUGCAACAAUGGUAGGAAUCUGACGGGGGUAAUCGUUCUUUGUUAUUAGGUGAUUCCGGAUACCCUUUGCGGCCAUGGCUUUUAACACCAUAUAGAUCAGCAAAUGAAGAUGAAAGGCGUAUUGUGUGGAACGAUUAAAUGGUGUAUUACAAGGGGAUUGAACACCUCACCACAAAUUGCUGGCAAAAUAAUCAAUGCCUGUGUAGUACUUCAUAAUUUUAGACUGGCACAUGGUUUGCUAACUGAAGACUACAUGGUCGAUUUAGAAGACAAUUUGUCUACUAACAAACAAGAAUAUGAAGAGUCAUUACCAGAAGCCUCUCGCAUUCGAGAUAGAUUAAAAUGUAGAUUUAGUAAUCACAAUUAAAAAAAUUUUUUUUCUAAAUAAAUACAUACAUAUUUCAUUUA